AGACGAUCAAAAACAAUCCGCAAAUGAGCUAUGUGUUCUGACUCAUCUCUAGAAGCUAUGAGAAUAUCAUCAAGAUAGCAAAAUGCAAAAUCUAAAUCAUUUAACAAUAUAUUCAUAAACCUCUGAAAAGUUUGAGCUGCGUUACGAAGACCAAAAGGCAUAACCAAAAAUUCGAAAAGUCCAAAAGAAAAGAUAUUCUUACCGUAGAGCUCCGCAGUGAAAUCCUGUAUGUGAGGCAAUGGAUAUCGAUCAGGGACAGUGACCGAAUUUAACGCACGAUAAUCUCCACAAAGUCUCCAUACAUUUUCCUUUUUUGGAACCAUAUGUAAAGGUGCUGCCCACGUACUGCAUGAUGGUCUACAAAUACCUUGGUCCAUCAUGAAUUUAAAUUCUUCUUUAGCAUACUUCAGUUUCUCCGGAGAAAGUCUUCUGGGAAUUGCAAAUUUCGGAGGACCUUCCGUAACAAUCCGAUGUUCAAUUCCAUGUGAGUUUACCGAUGAAAGAGGGGCAAAAUGAUUUUUAAGACCUGUUAAGGAAUCAAUUAGACGUUUGUUUUUAACAUCUACAAGGAGAUUAAAAUGUCCGAGGAAAUCUGCGCCUAAAAUGGGACGUUGUAUGUCCGCCACGCAAAAUUUCCAACGGAAAAUUCUCCUGAGACCAAGAUCCACGGAAAGAGUUUUAGAUCCAUAAGUAUCAAUGUGUGUUCCGUUAGCAGCAAAAAGUUUUAAAUUGGUUGAUAACGGUUUGUAUAAUAUUUUCUUGGGAAGCAAAGAAAUGUCAGCACCAGUGUCAACAAGAAAUUGUAAAUUAGACGACUUGUCAAAAAUAACGAGGCGAUGACAAGGUAAACCGUUGCGAGUUGCCUCUAUCUUCAACGGUAUCUCUAGUUUUCCGUUGAAUCAGUGAGACAAAGAGUUUUUGACUUAGUACAAGGAAUUGUACAUUUCUUUGCUUUAUCUCCAAAUUUCUUGUGAUAAAAACAAAUUUGUUCCUUAGAAUCCGACUUUUUAUCUUUUGAAUUAGAUCUUAAUCUUGUUUUACUUCGAGAUCGACUAAAAGAUCUACCGCGACGACGAAAAACUUCCAGCGCAGCAAUUCUUUUUUCUAAAUCGGCAAGAUCCGAUUGCUUUGAUUUUAAAGAAGUAUUUACUUCGGUUAUUUGAUACCCGGUAUCACGUUCGACUAUUUUAUCAGCGAGUUCAGCUAGCUUGAUUAAGGGUACGUCCUCAACAACAGCUAAAGUCGCUUGAACUUUGUAUGGCAAACGUUGAAGCCAAAGUGAAUGUAAAAUAUUAUCCGCUAAAGAUCCACCGGAUAAUUGGCGUAUCUCUCGUAAAAGCUCCGUUGGUUUUUUAUCAUUCAAUUCAAUUCCGGCUAAUAAUUGACGUAAGCGUUUUUCUUCUGAAUCCGUGAAGCGAUUAAUGAGCGCCGAUUUUAAAGCGUUAUAUUUAUCAUUUUCGGGUGGAUUUUCAACAAUUUCCGAAACGACAAUUAAUGCCUUUUCAUCGAGAUGACGGAUAACAGUACUAUAUUUUAUUUCUUCGGAACGUAUACGAAAUACCAAAAAUUCGCUUUCGACUUGAGCAAACCACAAUUUAGGUUGCUUGUGCCAGAAUGUGGGAAGUUUUACCAGACGAAAUUCAUUAGAAUGGAUCUGAAUGGACUCACCAGAUUGCUGUUGCAUAUUUCCAGAGGUUCUAGGAGGAGAUCUAUCCAAAGGCAUCUCGAUUGAUAUUCCGAUGACGAAAAGAAACGAUCCGGAAAUCCAAGUCCGAAGAUUCUUGACCACGUAUAGAAAUUUUUCAAAAAUUCAGAAAUUGAAUUUCCCGCUCAAGAGAAUAUUCCUGUGUUGAUCACUGAUCACGUCGGGGUCACCAAAAUGUAGUAAUAUUUGUCCACAAACGAUAAC